AUUUCUUUCUAAAGAUUUAUUUGGUACUUUUCUACCAAAAUACUAAAAGUUUUGCAUAUACAAAAACUUCCAAUAUUUUUAAGGGUAAAUAAGAAAAAAAGUAGAAAAAAAAAUGAAAAGUAAGUGAUAGCAAAAUAUAUUUUUAAAUGGGCAAAAUAAUUAUUUCACAGAGGAUAACAAUUUUUUUUAAUGGUAUACUAUAGAAUAUAACUCUAAGGCCCCGUUUGGUUGGCGAUAUAAGCGGGGAUAACGAAAUAAUUUUUGGUUAGAAUAUUUUAUCCCGAUCAAACUUUGCUAUUCCUGGUUAUUCCGGAAUAGUAAGGAAUUUACUAUUCUACCAUUUUGAUGGAAUAGUGCUUUUUCAAUGUUUAAUUUCAAACUUUAUUAAAAUUAUAAAUUAAAAUAAAACUAAAUUAUAAAUAUAAUAUGUUAUAUAUUAUAAUAUAUUAUUUUUAUUAUAAAAUUAUUAAUUCUACUAUAUAUAUUUAAAUAUUAAAUAUUAUAAUGAAUUUUAUAAUAAAUUAUAUUUAAAUAUUAUAAAAUAUUAUUUUUAUUAAAUUUAAGUUUAAGUAGAAUUUUAAAAAUUAUAAAUUUAUUAAUAAUAAAAAAAUUAUAAAUUUAUUAUUAUCAAAUUUAUAAAUUUAUUAUAAUAAAUUAUUUUUAUUAAUUGUUCCCACCCCUAUUCUUAUUUUCAAAAUUUUAAAUUUUUAAAUUUAAAAUUUGAUAUUUUAAAUGUUUAAAAUUUAAAAUUUUAUAUUUUAUAUUUUUCAAAUUUAAAUUUGAUCUUAAAUUUAAAGUUUUAAAUUUAAAUUUUAGAAUUUAAAAUUUUGAAUUUAAAAUUUGAGAUUUUAAAUUUUAAAAUUUUAAUUUCAAAUUUUGAAAUUUAAAAGUUAAAAUUUUAAAUUUAAAAAUAUAUAUAAUUUAAAAUUUAAAUAUAAUAAGAAGGGUAAUAUCAUUAUUUUUUAUUUAUAACUACUCACUUUAAUUUUUAUUCUAUCUUACCUAACCAAACGUUAUUUUUCCUAUUCCUAAGAAUACCUCAAUUUUCAUUCAAACACAAAAUUAAUCUAAUCCCCGCUUAUACAUCAAUUUAUAUCUAUCUCUGAAAUAGCAACUUUUUGCUUAUCAUCGAGCCAAACGAUACCUAAGUGUAAUUUCCAAAAGUGCCUCUAUGUAUAGCAACUUUAUAGGAAUAAAUGCGCAAUUCUAUUUCGCAAGGUUAUGUAUGCAAAAGUUCCAGUUUAUUUGGGUAAAACUUGUACUCUUGUACAGCCUAAACAGGGUAUGUGUUACACCUAUUUCGGGUGCUAUCUCUCCAAGAUAUCUUUGAUUCAGAAAUAAGAUGUAUUUGUUUAUUUCAAAAGUAGGUACAAUUUCGAAAAUAAAUAUAAAAAAACUAAUUUUGCAUUUAAAUAAAAAUUAGAUUAUUUUAAAAAUAAAGAAAAAUAAUAUUUGAAUAGUUAGAUAAGAACAAUAGAAAUAAGGAACAUAGCAUUUGUCAUUUUAUGUUGGGUUAAUUGUGCCUUUGGUCCUCAAACUAUGAGGAUCGAGACAUUUUGGUCUUUAAACUUUAAUAUGUUACAAUUUUAUACUUCAAUUUUUAGAAUUAUUACAAUCAAAUUUUAUAACCAAAUUUAAUUAAAUAAAUAUUGAUAUAUCACUAAUAUAAAUAUAAUGUAGUAGUGUUGUGAUUGAUGAUACACUAAUAAUUAAAAUACAGCGUUACUUUUAUAUCAACGAUACAUCAAAAUUUAAUCAAUUAAAAUGAAUUGUGAAAAUUGAUUAUUAUAAUUCUGAAAGUUCAAACUAAAAAUUACAAUAAAUUAAAAUUUCCGAACUAAAAUGUCACAUAUCUUAUAGUUUGAAAACCAAACAAGAAAUUUACCCAUUUGUUUU
rnacentral:lncRNA from 1 species